AAACCUGUUAUUUCUUUGUCACAGAAACUUCCAGAAACUGAGGUAGAUCAGUGGUUAACUCGGUUAUCAGUCUGGAAUUGCCUGGGAGGCUGCUGGCUUCACAGCCAGUGGGUAUCAGAAGCAGGACCUGAAUGUGACUCUUCCUGAUUCCAAGACCUCAGGCAUAUCCACUGGGACUCCAGGAACAUCUUCCAUCUUAGUUUCUCCAUCUGGGCCUGGAGUUCCCUGGAGUACUUGGGAUAAGGAGGAGCAGACUCUAAUCUCGGGAUCCCCCAGGUAGACCCCUGGGAGGGUGUGCAAAUAGCAUGCUAAAAACAGCCCAUGAAGCACCAGGCCAGAGUUAACACAGAAUCGCAGACUUGACAGUCGGAAGGCAGCUCAGCAGCCAUCUAUCCCAAGCAACACACACAAGAGAUUCCUGAUCGAAGAUACUGGCCAAGUGGACAGUCACCCAGCUUUCUUGAAGGCUUCCAAGGAAGGGGAAACCCCCACUUUCUGCAGCAGCCCAGGGCACUCUGGGUCAGCUCUUACUGUUAGGAAGCCAAGCCUCAACUGCCCUUUCCGAACAUUUGAUCCACUGCUUUUGAUCUGUCCCCUGGAGGCCCAGGAGAACAAAUAUAAUGGCUCACCCACUCCUCAGUUCUUCAGAUACUUGAAUAUAACAAAUGUGUACCAUCCUUCUCCUCCAAAAUGUCCCUAAGUAUUUUCUUCUUCAGGCUAAAAACCCAUGGCUCCUUCAAUGCAUUCUCCUAGGACGAAGACCUGAGGUGAGCAGACCUGAGGCCCUUCACCUCGCUCCACUCCUUCUGUUCCUCCAGAGGCUCUCUAACUAAUCAGUGUUGUAUCAUUCAACUGUGAUACCUACAACUGAAUACAACACUCAGGGUAGGAGAGCUGAGGGUGGAGAGCUUUGCCAAAGUAGGGAUUAUAUAGCAGUCAGCUGGGAAGAAGAAAGGAACACAGUAUUGGCCUGAGGUUUGGGAAGGCAGCUGUAGUAACAAAAAGAACACUUGGGCUUAGAAGACCUGGG